GGCGAACGCUGGCGGCGCGCCUAACACAUGCAAGUCGAACGGAGCUGAGAGAAGCUUGCUUUUCUUAGCUUAGUGGCGAACGGGUGAGUAACGCGUGAGUAACCUGCCCUGGAGUGGGGGACAACAGUUGGAAACGACUGCUAAUACCGCAUAAGCCCACGAUCCGGCAUCGGAUUGAGGGAAAAGGAUUUAUUCGCUUCAGGAUGGACUCGCGUCCAAUUAGCUAGUUGGUGAGGUAACGGCCCACCAAGGCGACGAUUGGUAGCCGGACUGAGAGGUUGAACGGCCACAUUGGGACUGGGACACGGCCCAGACUCCUACGGGAGGCAGCAGUGGGGGAUAUUGCACAAUGGGGGAAACCCUGAUGCAGCGACGCCGCGUGGAGGAAGAAGGUUUUCGGAUUGUAAACUCCUGUCGUUAGGGACGAUAAUGACGGUACCUAACAAGAAAGCACCGGCUAACUACGUG
rnacentral:rRNA from 1 species